rnacentral:rRNA from 2 species
GGGUUGUGAGGUUAAGCGACUAAGCGUACACGGUGGAUGCCCUGGCAGUCAGAGGCGAUGAAGGGCGUGCUAAUCUGCGAUAAGCGCCGGUAAGGUGAUAUGAACCGUUAUAACCGGCGAUACCCGAAUGGGGAAACCCAGUGUGAUUCGUCACACUAUCAUUAACUGAAUCCAUAGGUUAAUGAGGCGAACCGGGGGAACUGAAACAUCUAAGUACCCCGAGGAAAAGAAAUCAACCGAGAUUCCCCCAGUAGCGGCGAGCGAACGGGGAGGAGCCCAGAGCCUGAAUCAGCAUGUGUGUUAGUGGAAGCGUCUGGAAAGGCGCGCGAUACAGGGUGACAGCCCCGUACACAAAAGCGCAUGUGCUGUGAGCUCGAUGAGUAGGGCGGGACACGUGGUAUCCUGUCUGAAUAUGGGGGGACCAUCCUCCAAGGCUAAAUACUCCUGACUGACCGAUAGUGAACCAGUACCGUGAGGGAAAGGCGAAAAGAACCCCGGCGAGGGGAGUGAAAAAGAACCUGAAACCGUGUACGUACAAGCAGUGGGAGCACCCUUCGGGGUGUGACUGCGUACCUUUUGUAUAAUGGGUCAGCGACUUAUAUUCUGUAGCAAGGUUAACCGUAUAGGGGAGCCGGAGGGAAACCGAGUCUUAAUUGGGCGUUAAGUUGCAGGGUAUAGACCCGAAACCCGGUGAUCUAGCCAUGGGCAGGUUGAAGGUUGGGUAACACUAACUGGAGGACCGAACCGACUAAUGUUGAAAAAUUAGCGGAUGACCUGUGGCUGGGGGUGAAAGGCCAAUCAAACCGGGAGAUAGCUGGUUCUCCCCGAAAGCUAUUUAGGUAGCGCCUCGUGAAUUCAUCUCCGGGGGUAGAGCACUGUUUCGGCUAGGGGGCCAUCCCGGCUUACCAACCCGAUGCAAACUGCGAAUACCGGAGAAUGUUAUCACGGGAGACACACGGCGGGUGCUAACGUCCGUCGUGAAGAGGGAAACAACCCAGACCGCCAGCUAAGGUCCCAAAGUCAUGGUUAAGUGGGAAACGAUGUGGGAAGGCCCAGACAGCCAGGAUGUUGGCUUAGAAGCAGCCAUCAUUUAAAGAAAGCGUAAUAGCUCACUGGUCGAGUCGGCCUGCGCGGAAGAUGUAACGGGGCUAAACCAU